rnacentral:piRNA from 1 species
UGUGCUAACUUGCCGACAGAACUGCUGAGA